rnacentral:lncRNA from 1 species
AGGGAACAGCAGAGGAGAUGUGAUUGAACGAGGAGUACUGAAGAGCACCAAGCAUGAGAGGACAGAUCUUUCUGAAUGGAAUGUGUCCUGGCUGGCAACAUAACAAGAGAUAAGUCCAUUGAAAAGAAGAAACAGCCCAGCUCACAAACAGCCGCAAAAUCCCAGAAGAAAGAGGAGCCCCCAUGCAGACAUCUCUCAGGACACUCUACCAUAAAUAUAAACAGAAGACUGGAGAGGAAGAAAGGGAAGAGGAGGAUGAGGAUCCACAAAAUCAUGCAUGACUAAUUCUGAGGUCUAGUCAGGAGUACUGAAACUUUUCUUCAUGGAAGGAUAAAGGAAGCCCAACCCACCAGAGGAGAAACAGAAGACGGAAGUGGACUUUAAUAUCAAGUUCCCCCUCCCCCACCGCAUGCCUCCUCAGGCCAUUGAUAAACCCUGAGCUAGGAGGAGAGGGGAGUGUGAUUGGAGUUUUAUAUUGGACUGGGCCAGACUUAAUAACUGGAAUUUAUUUGAAAGCUCUGACAUCUGACCAAGAUUUGACUAAAGUCUAAGAAAAUCAGAUUCAACAGAAUGCGGUCAAAGGCACUGGUUGAAAAGAAACAAGACACUUGCAUGUUUAUAUCCCACUAGGAUAAACUUUCAACAAACCA